AGGAAUCUCGGUCGUACGUUACGCGCUUUUUGUAUAAUACCCACAUGAUGCAAAAAGGGAAUGCUCACAAGCGCUGUGCGGAUGUCAUGCCCCCGUGACCGCGGUCAUGCCAGGGGACGGCAGAGCGUACAGGCGGCAUGCCCACCUGUCGAGAGACGGGUGUUAGAGCGAGCGCGGACGGCGAACCCGGAUUCCCG
rnacentral:other from 1 species